UACGUAGGUGGCAAGCGUUGUCCGGAUUUACUGGGCGUAAAGAGCGCGCAGGCGGUCGGAUCAGUCGAAUGUGAAAGCCCCCGGCUCAACUGGGGAGGGUCAUUCGAUACUGUCCGACUCGAAGGCAGGAGAGGGUAGUGGAAUUCCCGGUGUAGUGGUGAAAUGCGUAGAUAUCGGGAGGAACACCAGUGGCGAAGGCGACUACCUGGCCUGUCCUUGACGCUGAGGCGCGAAAGCUAGGGGAGCAAACGGG
rnacentral:rRNA from 1 species